UGUCUUCAGGGCAGGGUGAAAUUCCCGACCGGCGGUCAUAGUCCGCGAGCGUGAGAACGCUGAUUCGGUGCGAUUCCGAAACCGACUGUACAGUCAGGAUGGAAGAAGAUA
rnacentral:ncRNA from 1 species